UACAGCGUGGCAUAGUGGUUUGAGCACUAGACUAAAAUUCUGGAGACCAGGGUUCAAUUCCCAGCUUGGUCA